rnacentral:lncRNA from 1 species
GUGAAAUGCUGUUACCCAUCUCCAUGAGUGGACUGACUUCAAGAGGAAGGCCUUGAAAUAAGCCGUCUCAUGUCAAAUUGUUCUUCUUAUUAGGAUAGCUACAGAAGAUGGACAAAAGGUGGAAGUGUUGUGAGUGACUGAUGCGGCCAACUUAAGAAGAAAAGUCCCCUUUUCUAGGCCUGUUUUUCCUUUGCAAGGAACCAACAGAGUUUCUCUUCUCCACCUCGGCCCUUCAUCUUACCCCAGGAAGAAUCACCCAGAAACAUUCAGAGCCCUCCCCAAGACUGGUUUUCCAUAGGAUUGGGAAGAAGGUUGGAGAAAUUAUUUGCAGCCAACAUCCCAGCAACCUGGAGCCCCUGAAAUGGUCGUGACUGCCCCAACGAUCAAAACUUCUGUGGACAGCUGUGAAAGCAAAAGAGAAGACUGACCUGAGAAGGACAUUUUGUCCCCUGACUGUUGGUACAGAAUACCUGAGGCAGGAUGUGUGUGUCCAGAGGACACAGCCUGCCAUGUCUGAGGCUAUCCUUCUGCCUAGCAGCCCGGGUUGUGGGGAGAAGAUCGUUAGUAGACCUGACACAUAAGAGACACGCUGGUAGCAUGCAAAGGCCGAGGAGUUGCACAGGCAGCUGUGGAAGGAGGAUUCACAGAGAAGCAGUAAGAAAUUGGGUCAUCAACCAGCACUCAGUGGCUUGGGCAUGGGGACCCACGAGAACCUGCUGUAGCCUAUGCUCUUGAAGAGCUGAGAUUCAGUUUCAGCAAAACGUCACCAGCUGUCACAUUACGUUAGUGUUCAUUUGAAUUGCACUGGUUUUGUGAUUUCGUUUUCAUUUAAAGUUAUUCUUACUUUAUUGUUGCCUAAGUUGUAUGUAUAUAAGGAGCUAAUAUAUAAAAAUCAUAUUAUAGUAUUU